UUUCUUUGCUGGCGACCGGCGCACGGGUGAGUAACACGUAUCCAACCUGCCCUUUACUCGGGGAUAGCCUUUCGAAAGAAAGAUUAAUACCCGAUGGCAUAGUUCUUCCGCAUGGUAGAACUAUUAAAGAAUUUCGGUCAUCGAUGGGGAUGCGUUCCAUUAGGUUGUUGGCGGGGUAACGGCCCACCAAGACUACGAUGGAUAGGGGUUCUGAGAGGAAGGUCCCCCACAUUGGAACUGAGACACGGUCCAA
rnacentral:rRNA from 1 species